UACGGAGGAUGCAAGCGUUAUCCGGAAUUAUUGGGCGUAAAGCGUCCGCAGGUGGACAUACAAGUCUGCUGUCAAAGUGCAGAGCUUAACUCUGUAAAGGCGGUGGAAACUGUAGGUCUUGAGUAUGGUAGGGGUAGAGGGAAUUCCCGGUGUAGCGGUGAAAUGCGUAGAUAUCGGGAAGAACACCAGUGGCGAAAGCGCUCUACUGGGCCAUAACUGACACUCAGGGACGAAAGCUAGGGGAGCGAAAGGG
rnacentral:rRNA from 1 species